rnacentral:lncRNA from 1 species
GAGAGAGAAAGAGUAGUUACAUGAAAGAUUAAUAAUUUCAUAUUAUAGGCUAAAAACAUUUAUUUUCUCAUAAACACUCAGAUUCUACUUUUCCGGCUUCAAAAGAACACAGCACACAUAAAUGAAAUCACGGAAACCAUAGUUUUAAUCAGUUUUUCAGAAAAUCAGGCCCCGGCUCACACAAUCCCACUCAGGCGAUUCUCAACUGGAUAGGUUUAUAUUUAACAAAGACAUUAAGAAAAGACGCUAGAAACUGCAGAUCCGGGGAUCUUCGAACCAUAAUCUCCUAGAAGAUGAUCCAGAUCUGACUUGGGUGACUCUGAGUUGGAUCAAUAACUGGUUAUAGUAUGAAGAUUUCACAUGAAAACUUAUCCAUCAGCUCAGGAUACUCGAACCAUAUCCAGAUAAACUUAUCAAUCCAGUUACAAAUUGAACGGGAACCCAAGCUUCUUUCAAUGAUUUCGAACGGGAAUCCAAGCUUCUUUCAAUGAUUUCGAAGAAGAAGACACACAGGCUAUGUAGAAUGACUCAGAUUUUUGCUUACCUCUCUUUCUAACACACACUAAGAAAUCAGUAAAAUUUCAUACAUUUGCUGAGAAUUAAAGCAGGACAAGCAAUUCAAUAAAACCAGGUUGUUUAAAACAAAUUAUGCAAGGUACCAUAAAAUUGAGAGAAAUGAAGUGAAGUGAAGAAAAGAAAUACAGCAACCGUUCAAAGACACAGGAAUUGAUUAUAACCAGGUUAUUAUAAAGUCAUUUUCUCUCGAGAAAGUAAAACAACAGAUGAUAAAUCAUUUCAGCAUUGAGAAGGAAAAUCAUGAGAGAACAAUGACUCUUGUAGACUUUUAGUACCAGAUGGAAAUUAUUAGGCAAAAGGAGAUAAAAGGAUCAAUGGCGUUGAGAAAAACCACCGUAGCCCAUAAAUAUUUAGCUCUCGAUUGGAAGAUGUUAGCAAACAUCAAAUUUGUUCUGUGAUAUAACUUUCAAGCAUCAACUUCUUAUCAAAUCUCAAACUUUGCAAGCAGGUAUAUUGUGUGAGUAUGUGACAGAGAGAGUAGAGACGGAGAGAAAGAGAGAGAGAGUCUUGAUCUUUCCAUGCACAUUCUCAAGAAACAAGGUGAGAGAGAAAGUGUUGAUUUUUCCAUUCAAUGGCACAUUCCAAAGAAACAAGGUGCAAAACUUUAUCUUUCCAUUAAAAGUAAGGAUAAUGCAAGCAGCUACAUCAUCAGUUCCCUUUGGAGAACAUAAGGGAAAAGAAGAAGAAAAACAAAAAACUGUACAACUUUUACAUAAAACUAACUCAUAAACUCUGUAACUCAAGCCCACAACAAAAACAACGACACCCCAUUCCAACUCUAACCACCCUCUGUACAAUCACCAUCCAAUCCCCUGUUUCUCUCUCUAGAAACACCUUGGUUCUCUCUAUCUAAGAACCCAUUUUUCUCUCUCUAAAAACCCACUUCUAGAAAGAAUUCAUCUCCAAAAUGUAAGUCUUCCUCUUCACCAAUAGUCUAGCCACCUCCCCAUAAGCUCCAUCAAAAGCCAUGGACACAAAUUGAUCAGCCUCCUCUUUCCCCAUUGGUCUAUCACUCGGCCUUAUAAAAACCAAAGUAGCUCCUUUAAAACCCAUACCGUUAGGAAGCUCGAUAUACGGAGCAUACCAGAGCUUCAUGCUCAAAGCUGGAACUUGGGUUCUAUUAGCACUUGCAGAGGCUGAAAUGGGUUUAACCCUAAUUUCACUCAAUUGCCCUGAAUUCAUAGAAAGAAUUCCUUGAUUAUCACAAUCGGUUACAGUCAGUCUCUCUAAGCCUGGGUGCUCUGAAAUUAUUUGUUGAAGAACAAAAUGCCUAGCUGAAGCAGCAAUUAAAGAGCUAAUGGUCCAAACCACCCUAAGUUUGAGACCUCCAUUAAUAUAGAAGCUCUCUGGUAUGGUGCCUGAUUCAUCUUCUCCGUAAAAGGCCAUAUCAAGAUCAUCAGAAACCCUAGUUUUCUCUCUCACAAAACCUGGCUCGAUAACACUGGAAGCCCCUAAAAUUACGCAGCUCUCUAGACUGGUCCCAAAUUCAGCUCUCCAUUUGAGGAGAACCCCAUCUCCAAACCCUAGCUCGCCAUUAGGGAGUUGGAUUUUCAGGGUCCUAAUGCUUGAGAAACUCUUCAAAACCUCAACUGGAGAAUGGUGGGUGACUUCUGAAACCCUAAUCUUUUGAGGCGUUACAAGCUUAUGAAAGGCUUCGAGGGACUUAACAAAAGAGCCCAUCACCAUUUUGAGGAGAUGAGAGAGAAAGCCUCGGGUUCUAGAGUUUAUUGGAUCUUCAUCAUCAGUGAUUACACAGUCUACUUUGAUCAAAAUAUCUUCAACCAUGGGGAUGAGAGAGAAAAACCUUUUGGAAACAGAAAGGCAGAGCCCUAAGGAUUUGAUAUCCUGAACCUUGUUAAAUAUAAGGAGGAGCACUGAGUCAGGGAGUCUUUCGAAGUGAUCUGCGAGUAGGGGUAGGUGAGAGCUGACCUUACCUGGAAAUGGCUCCAUGAGUGGAUGGUCCUAAGUUGCAGAGAUCUGCAAUAAUGAAUCGGUUCUAAUGGUGGGUGCUGUAAAAAUCAAAUCUUCAUGGAGUUGCAGAGAGAGACUUGCAGAGAGAGAGAGGGGAAAGUAGAGUAGAUGGUAGAGGAUUUAAGGAAUUUCAGCGAUGAAAAGUAGCGUGGAAUUAAGUUUUAAGGAAUUGUGUAGAGAGAGAGAGACUUUUGAGGUGGGUCUAAGAAGGAGGCGAAAAAAAGUAGAAAAAGUCCUAAUCUUUUAGAGAGAAAGAAGAUUUUCAGGAAUUGAAGAUAAAUCGAAAUACUGUGAGGUGGGUCUCCGUCUAUGGAGGCGUCAAAGAAAAAAAAAGUAGAAAAAGUCUCUUCUAAUAUUGCUUAGAGAGAGAGACUUGCUCAGAGGGAAAGAUAGGGAGGAAAAGUACAGUAGAUUUAUACUUUUAAAGGAUUGCAGAGAGAGAGAGCCUGCAAAGUAAGCAAAAAAAAACAGCAAAAAAAAAAAACCAGAAAAAAUCCUUUCUAAUCUUUCCUAGAGAGAGAAAGAAGAGAGAGGAGGGGUCUAAGAAAUGGGGCACAAAAGAGAGAGAAGCAUAGUCCUUCAAGGAGAGAAAAGAAAUUAUAGAAAGCUUCUUCCUCUCUGUAUUAGAGAGAGAUCCGCAGUAAGGGUCUGAGGAAUGAAGAGAGAGAGAGAGAAGCUAGAUGGAGGGUCUGAGGAUAGGGUUUCUUCUAGAGAGAGAAAGAGAUGGGCUUGAUGGAGGUUCUGAGGAUUGGGUUUGUUCUAGAGAGAGAGGGAGAAAUGAAUUUCCUGCUCUCAGUAGAGAGAGAGAGAGAGAGAGAGAAAUGAAUUUCCUGUUCUCGGCAGAGAGAGAGAAUUGGUCUGAGGAUUGGGUCUCUUGUAUUGAUUGGGGAAGAGAGAGGGAAGGAGCGGGUCGGUCUCGGCUUUCCCCUGAGUUUAGAGAGAGAGAGAGAGAGAGAGAAUAUAUCCAGAGUUUAGAGAGAGAAUAUACCCAGAGUUUAGAGAGAGAAAAG